GACAGAGGGUGCAAGCGUUGUUCGGAAUUACUGGGCGUAAAGGGCGUGUAGGCGGUGAAGUGUGUCUGAUGUGAAAUCCCUCGGCUUAACCGGGGAACUGCAUUGGAAACUACUUCGCUGGAGUGCAAGAGAGGAUGGCGGAAUUCCUGGUGUAGAGGUGAAAUUCGUAGAUACCAGGAGGAACACCGGAGGCGAAGGCGGCCAUCUGGCUUGUAACUGACGCUGAGACGCGAAAGCGUGGGGAGCAAACAGG
rnacentral:rRNA from 1 species